GACUUUAUGAUGCGUAAUCUUUCAACGAAUCUAACUCAUUCAAAAUUCUGGUGUGCUAAGAGUGAAGGAACUUGACUAAAUAAAACUCCGAUUAUAUAUUACAGGUUUUCCGCGGCGACUCCUUGCUGGCUGCUUUCUUGUGGUAAAUUAACUUGAAUGCCGCAAUGUAUUUACCGGUACUCCAGGCAAGGG